ensembl:lncRNA DRAIC downregulated RNA in cancer, inhibitor of cell invasion and migration
ACAGAAGGAGAUUUCAGCCUUAGAACCUAUUCAGAUGAGCACACCGCUCUGCUUGCAUGGGAUCUGAAGAUAUCCCAAUCUGGGUUUCCAGGAAGCUCUGGGCACUACUAGAAACACAUCUGGAGUUGGGAUGGAGGAAGCCAGCCUGCAAUAGCCUACAUAGCCAUGGACUAUGAGCUUGCCUGAGCUGUUAUUACCUGAUGGAAGUGUAGCCCCUGGCUGCUAGGUUGCCCCGACGGCCACUCUCCAUACUGCUGCCAGAAGAACCUUGAAAUAUCGCUCUUUUUAAUUAAAAAGCAAAACUCUUCAAUUGUUUUUGUUGCAUUUAAAGUUCAAACUUCUUACCACGGAGUGAAAGGCCCCACACAAUUGGCCCUGUCUUCUUCUCCAACUUCCAUUUUUCUUUGGUCCACCGUGUUCUAGCCGCAUGGGCCCUGUCUUGAUUCCUUGUACAUGUCAAGCUUACUCUUGCUCCAGAGCCUGUGUGGUAGUUGUUCCCUCUGCCUGGAAUGGCCUUCCCUAGAACCUGCCUUGGCUGGUUCUUCUUGCUAUUCAAACCUCAGCUCCCACAUCACCUCCUGUGUUAGGCCUCCCUGGACCACUCUAAUUAAAUUAGUACUGGAGACAUCAGUCCACCUGGCUUCAGGGGCCAGGCCUUCCUCUUGCAGCCUAGAGGCUCUUUGCAGACUGCUCAAAGCUCCCUUUGCACAACUCAACCUGGCAGUGGGGCCUUACUUUCUAUUUUUAUGAUCUCAGGGAUGUCUAGAGACCUCGUUGGCCUGGCUACAGUACAUCCUAACCGGGCAUUGAGUUGGAGGAACUCAGGAGCUUAUAAUCUGGCCUAGCUCCUCCAAGUUAGUCAGUUACCAAGUGGAGAAGAGAAGCCCUUUACCAUUGAAUUUUUAAUUGUACUGGAAACUGCCUAACCCUUUGGUAGAACAAUAAAGGGAAAUUUGGUGACUUGGUCUAGAGGCCUGGGGCAAGUAGCAACAGAGAUGAGGUUAGAAAGAUUUUUAACAUGUGGGCUUUCUUUUGUCAUUAAAAGAGAAAAACAA